rnacentral:rRNA from 1 species
UACGUAGGGCGCAAGCGUUGUCCGGAAUUAUUGGGCGUAAAGAGCUCGUAGGCGGUCUGUCGCGUCGGCUGUGAAAACCCGGGGCUCAACCCCGGGCCUGCAGUCGAUACGGGCAGACUAGAGUGCGGUAGGGGAGACUGGAAUUCCUGGUGUAGCGGUGAAAUGCGCAGAUAUCAGGAGGAACACCGGUGGCGAAGGCGGUUCUCUGGGCAUUACCUGACGCUGAGGAGCGAAAGUGUGGGGAGCGAACAGG